UAUUAUAUUAAAGUAUAAUAAUAAUAAUAAUAUAUUAUAUUAUAGUAUAAUAAUAAUGAGCGUGUCAGUGAUCUUCUGGAUGUUUCACGCUGCUCCUUUAAAGAGGCUUUGUAGUUCAUGUGUUUGUUUUGGAGCGCUGUGAUGUCACUUCCUGUUAAAAUGAGUUGUUUUUUAUGAGUUUGUGCUGAAACGUGACAGAAACAUAGAAACCUUCAUUCAUUUAUUUAUUUAUUUAUUAUUUUCUUUAAACUAUUGUUUCAAAGAUCCUGCUGACUUUUUUUGCCGUUUGAAUAAAAAGAUUUUCAGAUUAACACCGGUGUUCACCGCAUGUCGCCGCCAUCGCCGCCAUUUAUCACAUCAGACUUGUUAAUAUGUGAAUUCUUGUAUAAAUGAGUAAAUGUACAAUAUUGUAUAAGAAUAACAAAACCAAUAAAAACUUUGAAAACAG